AGAGGCGUGGGGUGAGUAACACGUAGGAUGAUCUACCUUCUAAGCUUCGAGUAGAUGUCGGAGAGGAUACCUGAUUACCGGAUAUAGUUUGUANGCAUAAGUAAUCUAAUGAAAGACUGCCUAUCCCUUGGAAGCAUUCGUUUUAAGAUGAAUCUGCGCACCAUUAGCUUGUUGGUGGGGUAUCGGCCUACCAAGGCUGCGAUGCUUAGCUGGUCUGAGAGGAUGCUCAGCCACACUGGAACUGGAACACGGUCCAGACUCCUACGGGAGGCAGCAGUGAGGAAUUUUGCGCAAUGGGGGCAACCCUGACGCAGCAACGCUGCGUGAGUGAAGAAGGCUCUUGUGUCGUAAAGCUCUGUCACCUGGGAAGAAAUUAGAUAUAUUUAAUAAAUGUAUUUAUAGACGGUCCCAGUGGAGGUAGCGCCGGCUAACUCCGUGCCAGCAGCCGCGGUAACACGGGGGGCGCAAGCGUUAUUCGGAAUUUUUGGGCGUAAAGGGCGCGCAUGCGGCCUAGUCAGUCAGAUGUGAAAGCCCGGGGCUCACCCCCGGAUGGUCAGGUGAAACAGCAAGGCUUGAAUUCGGGAGAGGAGAGAGGAAUUCUUGGUGUAGAGGUGAAAUUGGUAGAAAUCAGGAGGAUCACCGAUGGCGAAAGCUUCUGUCGGGACACAUAUUGACGUAUAGGCGGGAAGGCGUGGGUAGCGAACGGGAUUAGAUACCCCGGUAGUCCACGCAGUAAACGUUGUACACUCGUCCAUCCG
rnacentral:rRNA from 1 species